GCGUUAACGGUUUUUUAAAAAAAAGAAAAAAAAGCUCCUGCUCUCAGAACGUAAAGAUGGAUGGAAAAUGAAGAUGGAUGGAUAUAAAGUGGGACAUCAAUGGGAGAAAAAAGUUAGACAGUCCAACUUUUGAUGACAACUACAGUGACCUCUGCAAGAAGAGACAGGAAUUCAUAAAUGGUGAAGACAUCUGGCGAGAAGCACCCAAGAGGAAGAGCAAACCAAACAGCAAGUGGAAAGAUGUGGCAGAGGAGGACCAUGAAGUUCAAACAAAAAAGUCUAUGCCCAGGCGAAGUUCCCCGACACCUCCAUGCAAGAUGUCAGACGGAUCAUUAGAAAGAAAUGCAACAAGAGAUGCAAAACAACUAAAUGAAAAGAAGUCAUAAAAGUAAUGUUUCUGUCAAGAUAUUUUUGUUCCGAAAAUGUGCACUUUUUUCAUCUUCUUUUGACAACCAAGAACUUCAGUUCUCAGUUCUUAUUUUGUUCUGAGCUGAAAACAUACUUUUGUUUAGAUUUUUGAUGACAAUUGCAGUUUUUCUUGUUCCAUUUUUCACAAAGAAUGACUUCCUUGUGUUUACAUUUUCAUAUGUAAAUGUGUUUACAUGUUCAUUUCAAUAUUGAAAGCUAAGAAGGGUUUAAUUUCAGAGAAAUACAUUUUUUAUUUUGAAAUGCAGUCUGUAAUAGUUUAAGCUGACAUUAAAGAAACUGCACAUUAUGUUCUAUAAUAUAUAAAUAAAUCAAAGUUAUCAAGA